rnacentral:rRNA from 1 species
UACGGAGGGUGCAAGCGUUAUCCGGAUUCACUGGGUUUAAAGGGUGUGUAGGCGGGCUAUUAAGUCAGUGGUGAAAUCUCCGGGCUCAACCUGGAAACUGCCAUUGAUACUAUUAGUCUUGAAUUUUGUUGAGGUAGGCGGAAUAAGUCAUGUAGCGGUGAAAUGCAUAGAUAUGACUUAGAACACCAAUUGCGAAGGCAGCUUACUAUGGUUUUAUUGACACUGAGGCACGAAAGCGUGGGGAUCAAACAGG